rnacentral:rRNA from 1 species
GACGAACGCUGGCGGCGUGCUUAACACAUGCAAGUCGAACGGUGAAGGUGGGAGCUUGCUCCUACUGGAUCAGUGGCGAACGGGUGAGUAACACGUGAGCAAUCUGCCCCGAACUCUGGGAUAAGCGCUGGAAACGGCGUCUAAUACCGGAUACGACGCGCGAGGGCAUCCUCUGCGCGUGGAAAGAAUUUCGGUUCGGGAUGAGCUCGCGGCCUAUCAGCUUGUUGGUGAGGUAAUGGCUCACCAAGGCGACGACGGGUAGCCGGCCUGAGAGGGUGACCGGCCACACUGGGACUGAGACACGGCCCAGACUCCUACGGGAGGCAGCAGUGGGGAAUAUUGCACAAUGGGCGCAAGCCUGAUGCAGCAACGCCGCGUGAGGGACGACGGCCUUCGGGUUGUAAACCUCUUUUAGUAGGGAAGAAGCGAAAGUGACGGUACCUGCAGAAAAAGCACCGGCUAACUACGUGCCAGCCGCCGCGGUAACAC